rnacentral:rRNA from 1 species
CAGCCGCCGCGGUAAUACAGAGGGUGCGAGCGUUAAUCGGAUUUACUGGGCAUAAAGCGUGCGUAGGCGGCUUCUUAAGUCGGAUGUGAAAUCCCUGAGCUUAACUUAGGAAUUGCAUUCGAUACUGGGAAGCUAGAGUAUGGGAGAGGAUGGUAGAAUUCCAGGUGUAGCGGUGAAAUGCGUAGAGAUCUGGAGGAAUACCGAUGGCGAAGGCAGCCAUCUGGCCUAAUACUGACGCUGAGGUACGAAAGCAUGGGGAGCAAACAGGAUUAGAUACCCCCGUAGUCCCUGUCUCUUAUAC